AACGAACGCUGGCGGCAGGCCUAACACAUGCAAGUCGAACGCCGUAGCAAUACGGAGUGGCAGACGGGUGAGUAACGCGUGGGAACCUUCCCAAUGGUACGGAAUAGCUCAGGGAAACUUGGGGUAAUACCGUAUAAGCCCGAGAGGGGAAAGAUUUAUCGCCAUUGGAUGGGCCCGCGUAGGAUUAGCUAGUUGGUGAGGUAACGGCUCACCAAGGCGACGAUCCUUAGCUGGUCUGAGAGGACGACCAGCCACACUGGGACUGAGACACGGCCCAGACUCCUACGGGAGGCAGCAGUGGGGAAUAUUGGACAAUGGGCGCAAGCCUGAUCCAGCCAUGCCGCGUGAGUGAUGAAGGCCUUAGGGUUGUAAAGCUCUUUUGGCGGGGACGAUAAUGACGGUACCCGCAGAAUAAGCCCGGCUAACUUCGUGCCAGCAGCCGCGGUAAAGUCCUGUACU
rnacentral:rRNA from 1 species